rnacentral:rRNA from 1 species
GAUGAACGCUGGCGGCGUGCCUAAUACAUGCAAGUCGAGCGAACGGACGAGAAGCUUGCUUCUCUGAUGUUAGCGGCGGACGGGUGAGUAACACGUGGAUAACCUACCUAUAAGACUGGGAUAUCUUCGGGAAACCGGAGCUAAUACCGGAUAAUAUUUUGAACCGCAUGGUUCAAAAGUGAAAGACGGUCUUGCUGUCACUUAUAGAUGGAUCCGCGCUGCAUUAGCUAGUUGGUAAGGUAACGGCUUACCAAGGCAACGAUGCAUAGCCGACCUGAGAGGGUGAUCGGCCACACUGGAACUGAGACACGGUCCAGACUCCUACGGGAGGCAGCAGUAGGGAAUCUUCCGCAAUGGGCGAAAGCCUGACGGAGCAACGCCGCGUGAGUGAUGAAGGUCUUCGGAGCGUAAAACUCUGUUAUUAGGGAAGAACAGAUGUGUAAGUAACUGUGCACAGCUUGACGGUACCUAAUCAGAAAGCCACGGCUAACUACGUG